GGGGCUCGAUUCAGAAAGUUAGAAGUUAUUCUUACAACGAACGUAGAAAAGCUUGGAAAAGCUGGUCAGACAGUGAAGGUUGCUCCUGGGCAUUUUCGCAAUCAUCUCAUGCCCAAAUUGCUUGCUGUUCCUAAUAUUGACAAGUUUUCUCGUCUCAUCAGGGAGCAGCGCAAGAUUUACCAGCGUGAGGAAGAAGAAGAAGUUAAAGUAGUUAAAGAGACUG
rnacentral:misc_RNA from 1 species